rnacentral:rRNA from 2 species
CUUAAAUUGAAGAGUUUGAUCAUGGCUCAGAUUGAACGCUGGCGGCAGGCCUAACACAUGCAAGUCGAGCGGAAACGAGUUAUCUG